rnacentral:sRNA from 1 species
GCUCCACCUCCCCCUUUGUGAACUUGUUGCUUCGGGGGCGACCCUGCCGACACUUCGUCGCCGGGCGCCCCCGGAGGUCUUCUAAACACUGCAUCUUUGCGUCGGAGUUUAAAACAAAUUAAACAAAACUUUCAACAACGGAUCUCUUGGUUCUGGCAUCGAUGAAAAACGCAGCGAAAUGCGAUAAGUAAUGUGAAUUGCAGAAUUCAGUGAAUCAUCGAAUCUUUGAACGCACAUUGCGCCCUUUGGUAUUCCGAAGGGCAUGCCUGUUCGAGCGUCAUUUCACCACUCAAGCCUGGCUUGGUAUUGGGCGUCGCGGUAUUCCGCGCGCCUUAAAGCCUUCCGGCUGAGCUGUCCGUCUCUAACCGUUGUGGAUUUUUCAAUUCGCUUCGGAGUGCGGAUGGCCGCGGCCGUUAAACCUUUAUUCAAAGG